AAGUAAUGAAGUAAAAAAAUUAUUACAUUUAGUUUCGACCUAAAAAUAAGAAUUAUAUUCCUUACUUG
rnacentral:tRNA from 1 species